rnacentral:rRNA from 1 species
GACAGAGGGGGCAAGCGUUGCUCGGAAUUACUGGGCGUAAAGGGCGCGUAGGCGGGAUGGCAAGUCGGUCGUGAAAUCCUUCGGCUCAACCGAAGAACGUCGAUCGAUACUGCUGUUCUUGAGGGUUGCAGAGGAGACUGGAAUUCCCGGUGUAGCGGUGAAAUGUGUAGAGAUCAGGAGGAACACCGGUGGCGAAGGCGGGUCUCUGGGCCGAUACUGACGCUGAGGAGCGAAAGCGUGGGGAGCGAACAGG